rnacentral:rRNA from 1 species
AUUGAACGCUGGCGGCAUGCCUUACACAUGCAAGUCGAACGGUAACAGCACUUCGGUGGCUGACGAGUGGCGAACGGGUGAGUAAUACAUCGGAACGUGCCCGAGAGUGGGGGAUAACGCAGCGAAAGCUGUGCUAAUACCGCAUACGAUCUACGGAUGAAAGCAGGGGAUUCGCAAGGACCUUGCGCUCAUGGAGCGGCCGAUGGCAGAUUAGGUAGUUGGUGGGAUAAAAGCUUACCAAGCCGACGAUCUGUAGCUGGUCUGAGAGGACGACCAGCCACACUGGGACUGAGACACGGCCCAGACUCCUACGGGAGGCAGCAGUGGGGAAUUUUGGACAAUGGGCGAAAGCCUGAUCCAGCCAUGCCGCGUGCAGGAUGAAGGCCUUCGGGUUGUAACGUAGCUUUGUUACGGUAACGAAAGAAUACUCUUCUAAUAAAGGGGUACCGAUGACGGUACC